rnacentral:rRNA from 1 species
GGAAUGAUGGUGACGUAAAAUCUCACCAGAGUAACAAUUGGAGGGCAAGUCUGGUGCCAGCAGCCGCGGUAAUUCCAGCUCCAAUAGCGUAUAUUAAACUUGUUGCAGUUAAAAAGCUCGUAGUUGAAUUUCUGCGUUGCCCGACUCGGCUACUUGCCUUGUCUGGUUUCGCUUUUGGGGUUUUCCCCUUUUUACUUUGAGAAAAUUAGAGUGUUUCAAGCAGACUUGUGUCUUGAAUACUUCAGCAUGGAAUAAUAAAGUAGGACUUUGGUUCUAUUUUGUUGGUUUGUGAACCUUAGUAAUGGUUAAUAGGAACGGUUGGGGGCAUUCGUAUUUAACUGUCAGAGGUGAAAUUCUUAGAUUUGUUAAAGACGAACUACUGCGAAAGCAUUUGCCAAGGACGUUUUCAUUAAUCAAGAACGAAAGUUAGGGGAUCGAAGACGAUCAGAUACCGUCGUAGUCCUAACCAUAAAC